rnacentral:rRNA from 1 species
AAUGAACGCUGGCGGCAUGCCUAACACAUGCAAGUCGAACGAGUGGCGGACGGGUGAGUAAUGACUGGGAAACUGCCCGAUGGUGGGGGAUUACUACUGUAAACGGUAGCUAAUUCCGCAUACUUUCGUCUUUGCCCAGUUGGGAUUAGCUAGUAGGUGUGGUAAAGGCUCACCUAUGCUACGAUGCCUAGCUGGGCUGAUAGGACGACCAGUCACAUGGGAACUGAGACACGGUCCAGAGUCCUACGGUAGGCAGCAGGGGGGAAUAUUGCAAAAUGGGCGCAAGCCGGAUGCAGCCAUGCCGCGUGUGUGAAGAAGGACUUCGGGUUGUAAAGUACUUUCAGCGGGGAGGCGGUACCCGCAGAAGAAGCACCGGCUAACUCCGUGCCAGCAGCCGCGGUAAUAC